UUCUUUUCAUCUCUUUGGCUGAAAAAAAAAGGGAAAAAGAAAAAACUCAGAGGCAGGGGGGUUGAGAGAGUGAGCGAGAGAGAGAGAGACUCGGAUAGUAAGGGGGAGCGCCAAAGGCUCCAUCUCCGUAAUAUCUAGUGAGACUAGUGAUUCGACUCCAUCCUUCGUCCAAGCUCUCCUUCUCAGGCAUGGUUUUUACAGCUAAAGGGACGGAGGUGUUUGAGGAGCAAUAAGUUAUGAUUUUGGGCUCGGUUUUGAGAUAGGUGUCUCGAAACUAAUCAUUGUUAGUUUGUAUUCGUCAAUUCCAAGCUCGAACGAGUUCUUUUUGUUUGUUUCGUAUGAAAGGUUUACUUAAACAUUCCUCGAGGACCUUAUGUAAUAUAAAUAUGUUCAUUGUGAGUUCCCCAUGAAAUUUAACCCUUAAGCAUUAGAUUCAAUCUUUAUUUAGAUGCAUGUCUGGUGAGAUAUGAAAGCCCUUAUUAGAAUAUAAUUUUUAUCUAUCGUUGACAUUUAGCUGUUCUUGAUUGAAUCUUAAGUGGUGGAUAGUUCUUGUUCUUGACUUUAUUCUGCUGGGUUUAAUUGGUUUUGUGUAUUUAAUUUACAUGGCUGAGUUUCUUAUCAUUGGGUUGUACACUUUAGUAGAUUUCAUUUCUUGUGGGUUAGUCAAUGUGAUCUGAAUGACUGUGAUGAUUGGAUCUUUAUGGAAUUGAUUGGGAUUGCAAUUGGGUUCUUGUGUGCUGUAAAUUAUUCCUUGUGGUUGACUUUACUUAAUCUUGUUUUUUGGAUUUCACAUAUAAGGGUGCGUGGUGUGUGCUAAGUUUUAUCAUUGAUGGCUGUUGUGGUGCCAGAUGUAUAUUAUAGGAAUGGAUUAAUUGAUAUUGGUCAAUUAUCAUGUUAAGGUUAUUAUUCUAUAAGUUAAAUUACGCAUACGAGUUAUAUGUUAGUGUGUGAUUUUGUCUGUUGGACUUGGCGGGAUAUGAGAUGGAUUGACAAGCCGUUGGUCCAGCGGAAUAUAAAACGGACAUUAGGCCGCUGAUCCAACGGAAUAUAAAACGGACAUAAGUCUAAAGGUCGAGAUCGGGAUUGAUUAUGGGUGAUUCGGAGGUUGUGGGGGAGACAUAUGGAGAUAGACUAUAGAUUCAUGACGAGUCAUGGUACCGUUAUGAAUGGAAUUUCAUGUUUAUCUUUAAUGAAUGCAAAUUCGAGUGUUGCAAUAUUUAUUCGUGAUCGUGUUUGGAGUGUGAAAGCGACAUCUAUGAUUGUAGAAUUAUUAGCUUGAUAUGGUUGAUUUGGAAAUAUGAAUGUGGGUGAUGUGUUUACCGAAGUGGGCUUAAUGUAAAGCAUAUGUUUAUUCUAAUUAUAUAUUUAGUCUAGAAUUUAUUUGUGUGUGGUAAUUAAGUUAGACAGCUCUUGUCAGUUUGUCUCUGGUGGUGUACCUUGAGUCAUUUGAUAAUUCUUCUUGUUAUGCCUGAUUUGAUUUUUACUGAGGAGUUCUGACUAACUUGGUUAUUUUGGUUAAACUUGCUGAGCUAUGUAAGCUCACUCUAUUUCCACAUCUUUCACGGGGAAUCAUUGUCAAACGAGAGCUUUUUACAUGAUUUCUUGAAUCGGAAGGCGCGUGUCUUACUUGACUGUAAACUUACUUAAUCGGGGCUCAAAUGAUUCUGGGAUAUUCAAUUGACAUGUAUUUGAAAUUUACUGAGAUGAUAAAUCGGACCCUGAGAGGAUUACGAUUUGUAUAGUUA